rnacentral:rRNA from 1 species
AUUGAACGCUGGCGGCAGGCCUAACACAUGCAAGUCGAGCGGAUGAAGGGAGCUUGCUCCUGGAUUCGGCGGCGGACGGGUGAGUAAUGCCUAGGAAUCUGCCUGGUAGUGGGGGAUAACGUCCGGAAACGGGCGCUAAUACCGCAUACGUCCUGAGGGAGAAAGUGGGGGAUCUUCGUACCUCACGCUAUCAGAUGAGCCUAGGUCGGAUUAGCUAGUUGGUGGGGUAAAGGCCUACCAAGGCGACGAUCCGUAACUGGUCUGAGAGGAUGAUCAGUCACACUGGAACUGAGACACGGUCCAGACUCCUACGGGAGGCAGCAGUGGGGAAUAUUGGACAAUGGGCGAAAGCCUGAUCCAGCCAUGCCGCGUGUGUGAAGAAGGUCUUCGGAUUGUAAAGCACUUUAAGUUGGGAGGAAGGGCAGUAAGUUAAUACCUUGCUGUUUUGACGUUACCAACAGAAUAAGCACCGGCUAACUUCGUG